rnacentral:tRNA from 1 species
GCAGAUGUGGCCUACUGGUUAAAGUGACUGACUUGAAAUCAGUUUUCAUCUGGGAGCUUAGGAUCGCAUCCUACCAUCUGCG